CUUGUAUUUUCUCCAUGUAGUCACUUAUGAAUCUUAACUUUACAAUGUGUUUUAUGUGAGAGAGAGAUAAAUCUAGAGAGAGAGAGAGAGAAAAGAAAAGAGGGCCAACUAGGGUUUACAUUGACUUCAAAAACAGUUUUCUUUUGGUUUUUGAGCUGCUUACAGUGGAUUCCUGGGUCACGGUUGAGAGAUUUUGAGCUGUUAUAUACGGUCUUAACGGUCAUCAUCAUGGCACAUUUUGAGAAUUUUAGCUUGGAGUUGUCAGAUGUUCGUAUAAGAGAUCAAGAAAACUAUGGAUGGUGUACUUUUAAAGCAACAGCGUUUUUGUUAAGCUAUGAGUUGAAAUUCAACA